rnacentral:tRNA from 1 species
GGAAAGAAAAAGAAAAGGCCAAACUCCGCGGACUGUAAAUCCGCUCCUUCGGGUUCGGGGGUUCGAAUCCCUCUCUUUCCA